rnacentral:misc_RNA from 1 species
UCCGGUUUGUCACCGGCAGUCCCAUUAGAGUGCCCAACUAAAUGUAGCAACUAAUGGCAAGGGUUGCGCUCGUUGCGGGACUUAACCCAACAUCUCACGACACGAGCUGACGACAGCCAUGCACCACCUGUGCACGGCCCUUACGGACCUUCCAUCUCUGAAAGAUUUCCGUGCAUGUCAAGCCUAGGUAAGGUUCUUCGCGUUGCAUCGAAUUAAGCCACAUGCUCCGCUGCUUGUGCGGGCCCCCGCCAAUUCCUUUGAGUUUUAGCCUUGCGGCCGUACUCCCCAGGCGGGGCGCUUAAUGCGUUAGCUGCGGCACGGAGGCCGUGGAAGGACCCCCACACCUAGCGCUCAACGUUUACGGCGUGGACUAC